UUGAGAUCAAAGAUUUCCAACUUUCUCAAUUCUAGAAAUCAAGGAAAGCUCAUUGAGGCACUCUACUUCAAGACUGUCCAAGUGAAUUCUGAUAGAGGCUGUAGAUAAUGCCUAGCCCAAAAUGAACCGGCCCUGGCCCACUUCACCGGCCUAACGUUUAAUUUGGGUCAUGGCCUUUACUUUGGCUCAUGGCCUGGCUUGAAAAGGGGCCACUCCUCUUCCCAUUCUCUAAUGGACGCUAAGAAAGCUUGCCUCCCGGCUAUUCAAGGUUCCCACACCCCUCAAGAGGACGAGCCAAUUCCCCCAAUCCUUGUUUUCUUCUCUCUUGGAUUUUCCAGAUUUAACAAUCAUUGUCAUCACCCUGCUUUUGCUGAAAUCAUGACUUCAAACUUGCCAGAUCCACCUUCUCACCUCUUAAUUUCCUUCUCUCCCUACUGUCCUCGCACUAGGCCACUACUAUGUAC
rnacentral:lncRNA from 1 species